GCUGCGUUGGCCGAGUGGUUAAGGCGUUGGACUCGAAAUCCAAUGGGAUAUUCCCGCGCAGGUCGAAUCCUGUUCGUAGCG
rfam:Ciona savignyi cont_36265, whole genome shotgun sequence.